rnacentral:rRNA from 1 species
UCGAACGGGAAACAUUUUAUUGAAGCUUCGGCAGAUUUAGCUUGUUUCUAGUGGCGGACGGGUGAGUAACGCGUGGGUAACCUGCCUCACACUGGGGGAUAACAGUCAGAAAUGGCUGCUAAUACCGCAUAAGCGCACAGCAUCGCAUGAUGCAGUGUGAAAAACUCCGGUGGUGUGAGAUGGACCCGCGUUGGAUUAGCUAGUUGGCAGGGCAGCGGCCUACCAAGGCGACGAUCCAUAGCCGGCCUGAGAGGGUGAACGGCCACAUUGGGACUGAGACACGGCCCAGACUCCUACGGGAGGCAGCAGUGGGGAAUAUUGCACAAUGGGGGAAACCCUGAUGCAGCGACGCCGCGUGAAGGAAGAAGUAUCUCGGUAUGUAAACUUCUAUCAGCAGGGAAGAAAAUGACGGUACCUGACUAAGAAGCCCCGGCUAACUACGUGCCAGCAGCCGCGGUAAUACGUAGGGGGCAAGCGUUAUCCGGAUUUACUGGGUGUAAAGGGAGCGUAGACGGUGUUGCAAGUCUGAUGUGAAAGGCGGGGGCUCAACCCCUGGACUGCAUUGGAAACUGUGAUACUCGAGUGCCGGAGAGGUAAGCGGAAUUCCCAGUGUAGCGGUGAAAUGCGUAGAUAUUAGGAGGAACACCAGUGGCGAAGGCGGCUUACUGGACGGUAACUGACGU